rnacentral:rRNA from 1 species
GACGGAGGGGGCAAGCGUUGCUCGGAAUCACUGGGCGUAAAGGGCGCGUAGGCGGGAUGGCAAGUCGGUCGUGAAAUCCUUCGGCUCAACCGAAGAACGUCGGCCGAUACUGCCGUUCUUGAGGGAUGCAGAGGAGAUUGGAAUUCCCGGUGUAGUGGUGAAAUGCGUAGAUAUCGGGAGGAACACCAGUGGCGAAGGCGACUUCCUGGCCUGUUCUUGACGCUGAGGCGCGAAAGCUAGGGGAGCAAACGGG